ensembl:lncRNA
UUUUGUCUCCCCUACACAGCCUGGCAGGGUUUGUGUUUCAAACCUCAAAGGACUGCCACUGAGUGUGCUGCUUCAGGGAUUACAGUGAGGAAAGCUGUGCUGGGAUCUUUGUCGUUCUUGACAGAACUACAGAAGUAUAUGACCGGUGGCUAUUAUUAGAUACUGCAACUUCAUCGAGCAAUCAUGUGCUCCUUCUCUUUUACCUGGCUCUGCCCGCUCCUCCCUGAGCUCAGCCUGCAGAACUAUUUUCAGGGUGAAUGUCAAGACUGAUACCAGUGGCUCUCACUGAGGUCCUUGUUCCUCCAGUCUGAGAAAAGUAUCCCAAGAGCACCGAGCACAUCAUGAGAGCGUCUGAGCAUUCUGCCUCUGCCUUUCUCCUUGCACAGCCCUGCAGCAGAGCUCAGAGCGAUACCAUAUAGGUGAUAUAAUUUUAAACAAAAAUGAUUAGUUGAUGCUCAUUCUUAAAUGUCAUUAUUGAGUUAACUACCCACACACAACUACAGCGAUGGAUGUGUGCCAGUGGUUUGGCCAGCAUCAUUUGCAAUAACACGGGCAGGCAACGCUGUCUGCUGAGUCCUCAGUCACAUCUCUGAGUUCUCUGUGAUUUGGUGGCCUUGCUGUUUUCAGCAUUUCCUACCUCUCCUACCCAUCUGCUACAGAUGGAAACAACUAUGCUGUAUACUUCACUGGUGCCUUCAUCAUGUGCCAUGCUUUAAUCCUUCUGCAGCUUCUUCUGGUGCUUCAGGUGCUGGAGUACAAGCUCUAGGAGAACAGGACUGUCAGGAGCCAUAGAGAACUUGAAAAGUUGUUAUAUGCUGCAGAUGUGAAGUAAGCCUGAAAGAAGAAUGCUUUCCAGCUUCUUGAAUAUCAUGGCAGUUGAAGCUCUUUCUUUUUUUUUUCUCCAUAGUAUUGACAGAGGAGAAUUAGUCUAUCCCUGAAGCAGAUUCCCAAAGACAAAGGAAAAUGGCAAGCAGAAUAGCAGGGGAGUGCAUGUGAGUCAUGCAAAGUGCUGGGAGAAGAGUGUGGAAGCAAAUUCUUAAUAGUACCAGGCUGACAGGCUGGAGCUACUCGCACAUCAGAAACUAGAUGGCAGACUUGUAUCUAAAGACUACGUUUCCAGAAAAGAUCUAUGAAAUGUGGCCAUGACCCAAGCACUUGGUCUGAAAUCAUACAUGGCUGCUAGAAAGCAGCAGGAGAAUCCUCCUCUCCAAAAUAAUUGUCAUCUCCCUGAUGUGUUUAGGGACCUGGCCCAAGUGACAUGGGUGUAGUGUGAGCCCAGCUGUGCAGCCACUGCCUGGUAGGAAUCUUCUCUUUCUGCAUGCUGAUGCUCUGUGGGUUGAGGAUGGCCUUCAGGAGAAAGGGUAACAGGUGUGCAAAAAGUACCCUGGGUAGGUAUCACCACUAUGAAAGGCUCUGGGUAGGUGGAAUGCAGUAACUUUAGGCUGUGGGUAGAGGGGUUGUUGAUUAUCUGUGCAGAGUUCAUUACAGAUGCAGCUGUCUGUGCAUUAGGCAGCCAAAACACCUUCCUUUUACAGCUGUAAGGGAAACUGGUACCUCUAGGGGAUGUGUCACCUCAUCUGGAGCCACUCCCAAAUAAAAUCUUGCUUCCUCCAAAACCUCUGGAAUAACCUGAAUGGUGUCACUGACUGCCUUUGGUGAGGACAGGGACACACCACUGUGCCUUCAGCCGAGCCUUAUUUCUGCAGAGGAGAGCACUCCUUGGGAUAGAUGGGUUUGCUUUGAAUUUCCAGACUCUUGGGCCAGGCACGUGAUUGCCUUGUGAUCAUACAUGAGGUAAGUACCUUGUUUUUAUUUCAGAAUCCCAAAUGUAAUCCACCUUUCCAAAAUGCAGUCAAGGCACACAAGCCCAGACUUUUCAGGCAUCAUGAAGGUGCCUGACCGCAACCCUGAAUUAGAUGUGAGAUUGACUCGGACAUGUUCCUUUCCCAGGUUUUUCCCUUGGUCAUAUUAGACAUUCCUUCAUGGGCCUCAUGGCUCUUGUAAGGUUUGUCUUUGUGUGACAUACCGAAUCCCACACGUUCUUCUCUUACAUGUACAGAUGAGCCUUAAUUCUUGGACUGGAUUUGACUCAAGAUGAAGUUCUGAAGAACUUCUAAAAACUAGCUCAGAUGCUGAGCACACAGAGAGCUCAGAUCUCUGUGUCGGGACCACUGGGAGGGGCUCUCCUACAAAUGCACACUGAUACAGAAGGACCAGGAGAAGGAAGGAGAAAGCAAUGGGAUACUUGAGUUUCAAGUGACUUAUUAAGUUCAUUUGGAAAAAGUCAUUUAAUUUCCUGUCAUUUAACUUUUCUUCUGUCUAACUAUCCCAUAGCUUUGGAAGCUUUCAUCUCGUGCAAGGUAUCAAAUAGAGUAUGUCCCCUG